CCUACGGGAGGCAGCAGUGAGGAAUAUUGGUCAAUGGACGAGAGUCUGAACCAGCCAAGUAGCGUGAAGGAUGACUGCCCUAUGGGUUGUAAACUUCUUUUAUAUGGGAAUAAAAUGUUCCACGUGUGGGAUUUUGUAUGUACCAUAUGAAUAAGGAUCGGCUAACUCCGGGCCAGCAGCCGCGGUAAUACGGAGAAUCCGAGCGUUAUCCGGAUUUAUUGGGUUUAAAGGGAGCGUAGGUGGAUUGUUAAGUCAGUUGUGAAAGUUUGCGGCUCAACCGUAAAAUUGCAGUUGAAACUGGCAGUCUUGAGUACAGUAGAGGUGGGCGGAAUUCGUGGUGUAGCGGUGAAAUGCUUAGAUAUCACGAAGAACUCCGAUUGCGAAGGCAGUUCACUGGACUGCAACUGACACUGAGGCUCGAAAGUGUGGGUAUCAAACAGGAUUAGAUACCCUUGUAGUC
rnacentral:rRNA from 1 species